rnacentral:rRNA from 1 species
CCUGGCUCAGAUUGAACGCUGGCGGCGUGCUUAACGCAUGCAAGUCGAACGCGAACGGGGCUUCGGCCCCAAGUAGAGUGGCGCACGGGUGAGUAACGCGUGGACAAUCUGCCCUUAUGACUGGAAUAACAGUUGGAAACGGCUGCUAAUACCGGAUACGCUCAGGAAGAACUUUUUUGAGGAAAGGCGGCCUCUGCUUGCAAGCUGUCGCAUAAGGAUGAGUCCGCGUCCCAUUAGCUAGUUGGCGGGUAACGGCCCACCGAGGCAACGAUGGGUAGCCGAUUUGAGAGGAUGAUCGGCCACACUGGGACUGAAACACGGCCCAGACUCCUACGGGAGGCAGCAGUGGGGAAUAUUGCGCAAUGGGCGAAAGCCUGACGCAGCGACGCCGCGUGAGGGAUGAAGGUUUUCGGAUCGUAAACCUCUGUCAGAAGGGAAGAAACUGCCGUGCUCCAACCAUCAUGGCAUUGACGGUACCUUCAAAGGAAGCACCGGCUAACUCCGUGCCAGCCGCCGC